GGGCUGCUAGUUAAACCUGGUAUAACGCUCCGUUGGCUUCGGAGAGGCUCCGCGUUCAAAUCGCGGGCAGUCCA
rnacentral:tRNA from 1 species